CCUACGGGCGGCAGCAGUGGGGAAUAUUCCGCAAUGGGCGAAAGCCUGACGCAGCGACGCCGCGUGAGGGAUGAAGGUCUUCGGAUCGUAAACCUCUGUCAGCAGGGAAGAACGGUCACUGUGCUAAUCAGCAGCGAAUUGACGGUACCUGCAAAGGAAGCACCGGCUAACUCCGUGCCAGCAGCCGCGGUAAUACGGAGGGUGCGAGCGUUAACCGGAAUUACUGGGCGUAAAGCGCUCGUAGGCGGUAUGUCAAGUCAAGGGUGAAAUCCCCGCGCUGAACGUGGGAAGGGCCUUGGAAACUGGCAAACUGGAGUGUGUGAGAGGAAAGUGGAAUUACAGGUGUAGGGGUGAAAUGCGGAGAGAUCUGGAGGAACAUCAGUGGCGAAGGCGACUAUCUGGCACAUAACUGACGCUGAGGAGCGAAAGCGUGGGGAGCAAACAGGAUUAGAUACCCUUGUAGUC
rnacentral:rRNA from 1 species